rnacentral:lncRNA from 1 species
CCCCGCCCCGACGAAGCGGGGGACCCGCCGGGCGUCUCCCCCGCGUCCCCUGAGGGGCCCCCCCCCCCCCCCCCCCGGACGUCGAACCCGACCGUCGGCGGGGCCCGGUCGCCAGAGCGGCCCCGUCGGGGGAGGCGGGGAGAGGGGGCGGCGGGACGGGGCGGGACGGGGCGAGGGGAGGACCGGGGGCGGGCGCAAGCCGCCUCGUGCCGCGUGCCCCGACCCCGCCAGGCGAUGGUGACGCCCCUAGUAACUCGAACCAUUUCCAUCCAGCUUCUCAGGGCAGCCGGGAGCUUGUUUCCAUCACACCAGCUGACCCCGGGUCUCCUUUUCUCAACUCCAUUUUCAACUCCGUGCUGAAGAAGGGAGAGAACCUAGAGGGCGCCUUGUGACGCAGCCAGGAAGAUGUUUGGGGAGCUGGAUGGUGCAUGAAAGAUAUAAUAGGAAGUCUAUCGGAUCCCCAAGAAGAGCCAGACGGAGAAAGAGCACAGCGCCGACCGCGGGAGAGACGGCGGCGGGCACAGGGACCAGGCGGCCACCCCGAAGACGCCCAACCUGGCCAGGGAGCGGGACCAGGAGAGGCAAGCGCAGAGCAAAGAGAAGAAGAAACGGCGGGGGUCCCUCUCCCCGCCCCCGUCGGCCUACGAGCGAGGCUCCAAGCGAACGGACGACAGAUACGACACGCCGACGUCUUCCAAGAAGAAGGCGCGCCUCAAGGACCGCAACAAGCUGUCCACGGAGGAGCGCCGGAAGCUGUUCGAGCAGGAGGUGGCCCACAGGGAGGCCCAGAAGCAGCAGCUGCAGACGCUGGGGAUGGCCUCCCCGCUGCCCUACGAGCCCCUGGGCUUCGGCGGCCCCCACCACCCCUUCGUCGGCUACCCCCCCGGCUACCCCAUGCAGGCCUACGUGGAUCCCAGCAACCCCAAUGCUGGGAAGGUGCUAUUACCCACGCCCAGCCUGGACCCCAUGUGCUCCCCGGUGGGCUUCGAGCACGCCCAGACUCUGGCCGGCCCCGCGGCGGAGCCGGCCGCCCAGCACGCCGUGGACGUCGCCGCGGCCCCCUACGCCGCCCAGGGCGACGGCGCCGUCCACCAGGAGGCCGGGGUGGCCGUCCUGCCGGUGCCGGGCCCGGUGCCGGCCUACGGCGUGUGGGACGCGGGCCAGCCGACGGUGGCGGCCGUGCAGCCCACCUUCUCGCCCGCGCAGUCCCAGCCGGCCAUCUACUACCAGGGCCAGGCCUGCCCGGCCGUGUACGGGGUCGCGUCGCCGUACUCCCAGGCCGCCCCUCCCAUCGUGCAGAGUUACGCCCAGCCGGGUCUCCAGUACAUCCCAGGGCAGCAGAUCUUCGCGGCGCACCCGCAGGGCGUGGUGGUCCAGCCGGCCGCCGCGGUGACCACGAUCGUCACGGCGGGACAGCCCUUGCAACAGGUGAGCGGCGACUCGCGUGUGCUGACGGCCCCCGGACCUCCUCUGACGCCGUCCCCGCCUUCCCGGUCCUAUUUAUCGAGCGCUUCCUGCGUGCAGAUCACUGUCCCGAGCGCCCGGGGGAGAGGGCAGAGGGGUAGACACGUUCCCUGCCCUCACGAGCUUACGGUCUAGACGGGGACACGGACAGUAAUGAACGAAGUACGGGGCUGUGGGGCUGGUGGGUGGGUGAGUGAAGCAAGCAAAUGGGGGCGACGCGGAAGGGAGUGGGAAAAGGGGAAAGGAGGGCUUAGUCAGGGAGGGCCUCCCGGAGGAGACGGGCCUUCAGUGAGGCUUUGAACGAGGCAGACGGGGGUCCGUCGGAUGUGAAGAGGGAGGGAACUGCGGGCCAGGGGUCGGCGGCGCGGUAGACGAGACGGAGGGACAGAGAGUAGGGUGGCACUAGAGGAGCCAAAUGUACGGGCCGGGUCUCGACGGAGAGUGGCGAGGCGAGGGAGGAGGGGGCGAGGGGAUCGAGGGCUUUCAAGUCGUUGGGGGGGACUGUCUGAUGUGGAGCUAGACGGGCAACCACCGCAGGGUCUCGAGGAGCGGGGAAACGGAAGGGUUCGGGGUUCGGACGGCCCUCGUCUCUCGGGGGGCCGCGGGGCCGACGGUCGGUCCGCUGGCCGCUCGGGGUUCAACCGCGCUCCCCGCGUCUCCGCACGGUUUACGUCCCCUGGACUCGGCGUGACCUCCGCCGAGAGGCGUGCGUGAGCUGGGCCCCGACCCAGCCCGCACCGGGGCCGGGGGAGCGGGAGCCGGAGGGGCCGGCAGAGCCCCUCCAAGCCUUCCCGGCCACCGCCCUCGGG